rnacentral:rRNA from 1 species
UCAAUAAGCGGAGGAAAAGAAACCAACAGGGAUUGCCUCAGUAACGGCGAGUGAAGCGGCAACAGCUCAAAUUUGAAAUCUGGUCCCCUUUGGGGGCCCGAGUUGUAAUUUGAAGAGGAUGCUUUUGGCGAGGCGCCGUCCGAGUUCCCUGGAACGGGACGCCGCAGAGGGUGAGAGCCCCGUACGGUCGGACGCCGAGCCUCUGUAAAGCUCCUUCGACGAGUCGAGUAGUUUGGGAAUGCUGCUCAAAAUGGGAGGUAAACCCCUUCUAAAGCUAAAUACUGGCCAGAGACCGAUAGCGCACAAGUAGAGUGAUCGAAAGAUGAAAAGCACUUUGAAAAGAGAGUUAAAAAGCACGUGAAAUUGUUAAAAGGGAAGCGCUUGCGACCAGACUUGCGCCCGUCGGAUCAACCGUCGCUUGCGGCGGCGCACUCCGGCGGGCUCAGGCCAGCAUCAGUUCGUCCGGGGGGAGAAAGGCGGCGGGAAUGUGGCUCUUCGGAGUGUUAUAGCCCGCCGUGUAAUACCCUCGGGUGGACUGAGGACCGCGCGUAUGCAAGGAUGCUGGCGUAAUGGUCGUCAGCGACCCGUCUUGAAACACGGACCAAGGAGUCGUCCUAAUAUGCGAGUGUACGGGUGUCAAACCCCUGCGCGUAAUGAAAGUGAACGGAGGUGAGAGCUUCGGCGCAUCAUCGACCGAUCCUGAUGUUCUCGGAUGGAUUUGAGUAAGAGCAUAUUGGGCCGGACCCGAAAGAAGGUGAACUAUGCCUGUGUAGGGUAAAGCCAGAGGAAACUCUGGUGGAGGCUCGCAGCGGUUCUGACGUGCAAAUCGAUCGUCAAACAUGGGCAUGGGGGCGAAAGACUAAUCGAACCUUCUAGUAGCUGGUUUCCG